GUGUAUGGUGAGCUGCCUCUUCCGCAAGGGACCCCACGGCCGCCUGCAGACGGGCAGCAAGCUGGCGCUGGCGGAGCUUGGGGCGAUGCGGCUGUUCUCUGAUGGCGCCAAAGACGCGCGGUACCUCAACGCCACGGCGGACGCGGUGAGGCGGUGCUCGGCCGCCAGCAGGUCGCUGCUGCCCGACAAUGGCGGACCACGUCAUGAGUGCGAACUGGGAUUCUUCAUGUUCGAGUGCGUCAGCGACCAGAUCACCGAGUACUGUCAGUGGCAGAAGGAGUGAGCGGGGAGCUGUUGCCGGGCGCCGCUUCUGCCGUCAGCGGACCUCCACUUCCGCUGCUUGCGGGAUUCACACAGACUCUUCAGAAAUUCUGCACCGCAUUGCCACAGAGAUGUAUUUAUUUUUGUUUCCACACAUAUAUUUUGUACAAGUUCAAAAAUACAUAUUCUCA